rnacentral:ncRNA from 1 species
UAUUCUGUUACUUUUUUAUUUUCUAUAAUUCUUGCAUACAUAGGGUGUGAAGUUUUAUCCUUGCUGAGUGGUCCCUUUAAUUUAUAAACUAUAUACUGAUUUUGAUUCUAAAUGUUUUAUUUUGUAGUGGUUGAUAUUGCUAUUCAAGUUAUUUUUGAUGCAGUUAUUUUUAUACUUCUGGCAAAUUUCGUGCCAGCAGCCGCGGUUAUACGAUUAGAGGUAGGGACUACUUUUGGUUAACAGUAAUUUUUUGUUAUUAUUUCUUUAUUUAUUAAUUUUAGGUGAAAUUUAUAUUUUUAAUUAAUGUAAUUUUAAGGAGUCUGUGAAACUUAUAUUUAAAACUAGGAUUAGAUACCCUAUUAUAUUAGGUGUUAAUUUUUGCCUGGGUAGUAUUAGUUAUGUUCUUGAAACCCAAAGGAUUUGGCGGUAUUUUAGUCCUUUCAGAGGAGCCUGUCCUAUAAUCGACAUUCCACGAUAUAUCCUACUUAUAUUGGUUUUCAGUUUGUAUACCUCCGUCAUAUGGGUAUUUUUUUAGAAUUAAUUCCCAUGCACAUUUAAUGUGAUUAUGUCAGGUCAAGGUGCAGCUUAUAUGUAAGUUGAGAUGGGCUACAAUAAUUUUAUUUAGACGGAUUUAUUUAUAUAUAUAAAUAUUGAAGGUGGAUUUGAAAGUAAAUUGGUUUAUUUAGUUGUUUGAAUUUGGCUCUAUAAUAUGCACACAUCGCCCGUCGCUCUCACGAUAAGUGAGAUAAGUCGUAACAUAGUAGAUGUAUUGGAAAAUGUAUCUAGUAAGAA